rnacentral:rRNA from 1 species
AGAGUUUGAUCCUGGCUCAGCGUGAACGCUGGCGGCAUGGCUAAAGCAUGCAAGUCGUACGAACCCGCAAGGGUGAGUGGCGGACGGGUUAGUAAUACGAUCGAACAUACCUCGAGCUGGAGGAUAGCGGCGGGAAACUGCCGGUAAUACUCCAUGUCCUCUCCGGAGAAAAGCUUUUGCGGCUUGAGAUUGGCGAUUGUCCUAUCAGCUAGUUGGCGGGGUAAAGGCCCACCAAGGCGAAGACGGGUAGCAGGUGUGAGAGCACGACCUGCAACAUCGGGACUGAGACACUGCCCGGACUCCUACGGGAGGCUGCAGCGACGAAUCUUCUGCAAUGGGCGAAAGCCUGACAGAGCAAUGCCGCGUGUGGGAUGAAGCGUCUAUGACGUGUAAACCACUGUCAGGGGGCGGAACCAAUGAUUGCCCCCAGAGGAAGAGCCGGCUAACCCUGUGCCAGCAGCCGCGGUAAUACAGGGGGCUCGAGCGUUACGCGGAAUCACUGGGCUUAAAGGGUGCGUAGGUGGCUCGCAAAGCAUUACGUGAAAGCCCCGGGCUCAACCCGGGAAUUGCGCGAUGUACUGGCGAGCUUGAGGUAAGUAGGGGUUGACGGAACAGUGGGUGGAGCGGUGAAAUGCGUAGAGAUCCACUGGAACGCCGAUGGUGAAGACGCAACUGGGCUUAUCCUGACACUGAGGCACGAAAGCGUGGGGAGCAAACAGGAUUAGAUACCCUAGUAGUCC